GCCGCGUGUGUGAAGAAGGCCUUAUGGUUGUAAAGCACUUUAAGCGAGGAGGAGGCUACUUUAGUUAAUACCUAGAGAUAGUGGACGUUACUCGCAGAAUAAGCACCGGCUAACUCUGUGCCAGCAGCCGCGGUAAUACAGAGGGUGCAAGCGUUAAUCGGAUUUACUGGGCGUAAAGCGCGCGUAGGCGGCUAAUUAAGUCAAAUGUGAAAUCCCCGAGCUUAACUUGGGAAUUGCAUUCGAUACUGGUUAGCUAGAGUGUGGGAGAGGAUGGUAGAAUUCCAGGUGUAGCGGUGAAAUGCGUAGAGAUCUGGAGGAAUACCGAUGGCGAAGGCAGCCAUCUGGCCUAACACUGACGCUGAGGUGCGAAAGCAUGGGGAGCAAACAGGAUUAGAUACCCUGGUAGUCCAUGCCGUAAACGAUGUCUACUAGCCGUUGGGGCCUUUGAGGCUUUAGUGGCGCAGCUAACGCGAUAAGUAGACCGCCUGGGGAGUACGGUCGCAAGACUAAAACUCAAAUGAAUUGACGGGGGCCCGCACAAGCGGUGGAGCAUGUGGUUUAAUUCGAUGCAACGCGAAGAACCUUACCUGGCCUUGACAUAGUAAGAACUUUCCAGAGAUGGAUUGGUGCCUUCGGGAACUUACAUACAGGUGCUGCAUGGCUGUCGUCAGCUCGUGUCGUGAGAUGUUGGGUUAAGUCCCGCAACGAGCGCAACCCUUUUCCUUAUUUGCCAGCGAGUAAUGUCGGGAACUUUAAGGAUACUGCCAGUGACAAACUGGAGGAAGGCGGGGACGACGUCAAGUCAUCAUGGCCCUUACGGCCAGGGCUACACACGUGCUACAAUGGUCGGUACAAAGGGUUGCUACCUAGCGAUAGGAUGCUAAUCUCAAAAAAGCCGAUCGUAGU
rnacentral:rRNA from 1 species